UAGGAGCGAGGAUGCCAGCUGCGAAGCAGACUGGCGGGCCGAGCAAAGCGAGGUCAGUGUAUCAGUUGUUUCGCCAGAAGCAGCGCUGAGUAGCUAUGUUCGGCAGGAAUAACCGCUGAAAGCAUAUAAGUGGGAAAUCCUUCUGAAGAUAAGAUCUCCCUGGGGGCAACCCCCUGAAGAGCCCGGGAAGAUGACCCGGUUGAUAGGUCACAGAUGUAAGUGUGGUAACACAUUGAGUCGAGUGAUACUAAUAGCUCGU
rnacentral:ncRNA from 1 species